rnacentral:rRNA from 1 species
GUGCCAGCAGCCGCGGUAAGACGAACCGUGCGAACGUUAUUCGGAAUCACUGGGCUUAAAGCGCGUGUAGGCGGGAGGGCACGUCCGUCGCUGAAAUCCCCCGGCUCAACCGGGGAACGGGCGCGGAUACGACCUUCCUGGAGGGGCGUAGGGGGACCUGGAACUUCCGGUGGAGCGGUGAAAUGCGUUGAGAUCGGAAGGAACGCCCGUGGCGAAAGCGAGGUCCUGGACGCCUACUGACGCUGAGACGCGAAAGCCAGGGGAGCGAACGGGAUUAGAUACCCCGGUAGUCC